GACGAACGCUGGCGGCGUGCUUAACACAUGCAAGUCGAACGGAAAGGCCCUGCUUUUGUGGGGUGCUCGAGUGGCGAACGGGUGAGUAACACGUGAGUAACCUGCCUUUGACUUUGGGAUAACUUCAGGAAACUGGGGCUAAUACCGGAUAGGAGCUCCUGCUGCAUGGUGGGGGUUGGAAAGUUUCGGCGGUUGGGGAUGGACUCGCGGCUUAUCAGCUUGUUGGUGGGGUAGUGGCUUACCAAGGCUUUGACGGGUAGCCGGCCUGAGAGGGUGACCGGCCACAUUGGGACUGAGAUACGGCCCAGACUCCUACGGGGGGCAGCAGUGGGGAAUAUUGCACAAUGGGCGGAAGCCUGAUGCAGCAACGCCGCGUGCGGGAUGACGGCCUUCGGGUUGUAAACCGCUUUCGCCUGUGACGAAGCGUGAGUGACGGUAAUGGGUAAAGAAGCACCGGCUAACUACGUG
rnacentral:rRNA from 1 species